rnacentral:lncRNA from 9 species
UUUUUUUUUUUUUUUUUUUUUGCUUUUUAGGGACGCACUUGUGGCAUAGGGAACUUCCCAGGCUAGGGGUCCAAUCGGGGGAUAGUAUUUCAUAAGAUCCUAAAAUCAUUAAUCAUAUGAUGAAAAACUGUUUGAUUUACCUACAUUAAAUAGUAAGAAUAUUGAAAGAAAUUAUUGGUAAGUUAUCAGAUUAAUAACUAACUAGGAGUUGAUUCCUACAGCAGCUAAAGCUGACAAGGGAGUAAUACCUAGACUAUAAAAGGAAAUGGAAAAGUGGAGAAAGGACAAGGAAAGGUAGUUCUUGGAAUGAAAAAAUCUAAAUAGGAAAAGGCACCUGAAGAGACGCUCAAAUUCACCAGUGAUCCAAGAUAUAAAGAUGAACACAACAGUGACAUGUAUAUAUGUAUACAUAUAUAUAUAUAAUACAUAACUGAGUUACUCUGCUGUACACCUGAAAUGAACACAACUCUGUGAGCCAACUAUAGUUCAAUAAAAUUAAAAACAAAAACAAACAAUGACUUGCACGCUUAGCCAUCAGAAUGAAUGACCAAAUGUCCAUGCCAAAAGGUGGAGGUGUAGGGAAGUGAGAACUCCCAUGUGCUGUUUCCAUGUAGGAAACCAACCUGAAAUUAAAUGUGCAUACUUCAUACGACGCUGAGACCCAAUUUCUGGGCACACAUCCCAGAAAUAAUUCUCACACAGGCCCCCGAGAUUAUAAAUGAGGAGGUUAGUUGCAGAAUUUUUUGUGACCAGCGGGGAUCUGGAGGUAACCUGGGUGCAUAUCAACUGGAAGAAACGAAAUAAAAUGGAGUGAAACGCAGACAAUGAAAUACUGUGGACAUGUUGGGAGUCUACACAGUGACUGGAAUGUACCUGAAAAUAUAUGCUGAGUUUAAAACAAGCAACCUUCUUGCUUUGUCUAGCCUGCUUGUAUUAUAGACCUAUUGUUUAUAAAAAUGAUAAUAUACACAUGCACAAAUCAUAAGAUAUAUUUCAUAAGGACGCAUGCCCACUUGACUUCCAGGAUAUUUAGGUAGUUCUCCAGUGGGCAGGGGAAGGGGUUUGGGGAGCAAGGGUGAAGAGGAACAAUAACAAAAGGAAAGUCUAACCUGAACUUACAAUGGUAAUAAGCUAGGAACUGAGGACUAUGUAUGACUUAGCUCCAAAUCUGAGGGCCGAUCCCAAAUGUUGGUGAGGUCUUAUGAAGAUGAUGUGAAAUCUAUAAACCAAAUUUCCUGGCAGUGCUGGAGGUGCUCAACACCUAUUUGCUUCCCCCAUGACUCUUAGGAAGUACAAAAGGAAGAGAGUUUUCCUUCCUUUUUUCCAGAUAAUUUAAUCGAUGAAAAUAAAUGAAAUCUCAAGAAAAUGAAGUACCAAAAGUAGCACUCAGAUCUGGGUACAGAGGAUUGGUUCUCAAACAUGGGUGCUUGUCAGGAUCACUCAGAAGAUUUGCAAAAAAUUCAGAUCACCAGGCUCCACCCCCGCCCCACCCAGAACAAAGUGGACCAUCGUCUCCGCAUGGGGGAGGUGAUGGAGACUAGGGCUGGGGUCUGAUGAGCAGAAUUUGAAAAGCAUUGCCACCACGCCUGUCUGUCCACUAGGAUCUCAGCCACUCAUGUUCUUUGGAACAUUGCUUUGAAAACCUUCAACAGCUUUUGCUAAAUAAAGCAGCACUGAAUUGCUCAAAAAGAAAUAUAUUUCAAAAUAUAUGACUAGUGUAUACAGUAUGGUACUCCAUCUGCUCUUCCAAAAUACUUGAGUUUUAGAAAAUAAUGUGUAGAUAGGUCUAUAAAUUGCUACCUCCCACAAAACAAAGUCGACUUGCUUUAGGGAGUAUGGGAAAAUAUUUUUUCUUUUUGGUUUAUCCAUAGCAGGAAAGCUAAUCUAUAAGAGCAAGCAAAUGGGCAUGCAUUCAUUCAGUUAUGUAGCUAUUCAGUCAACACCUGAGGAUGGUUCAACUACCUAAUAGUAAUUUAGCAUCUGUAAUAAAAAUAACUUGCACAAACAUAACAACUUUCCCUCUCCUAUCUCAAUAGUCAAGCAAGUAAGCGUGCAUCCUGGGAUGGAAGAUCCUAGAAGGCAGAGAAUGCAACUCUCUCCGUUGGAUGUCAUUGUCUGCUUCAUGGAAUCCAGCAUUUGGUAAAUAAUGACUAGGACAAGCAUUCUUUGCUAUGAUUCUUUUAUUUCUCACGGCAUUUAGCACCAUGCAGCCUCUGUCUUUUCCAGUGCUGCUCAGAUGCCGGUUGAAGACCUUUGAGCCUUAAGGCUAUCCCUGAUAAAUUCCUGAACCAGUCUCUCUUGCAAGUGAGUGAGACCUAGAAUGGCUCAAGAGAAGCAGCACUCGGUGAAAUAGGAAGAAUGUGGGCUUUGGAAUCAGAUAACUCUGGGUUUGAAACUCAGCUUGGUCUUCUACUGACUGAGUCUCAGUUUCUUCAUCUGUGAAAUGGGACAAUGACAACCUUUCUGGAUUACUGUGAGCAUCACACAGGGAAUGUACAGUGCCUGAAACAGAGUGGACCUGGGAAAUACGGAAGCGAGGCUGUUGCUGCUGCGUGUGUUGCUACAAACCCAGUAUCUAGUUCCCCAAUGCUCACAAAGCUCUAGUUCAUAUUUCUAUGCUUUGUGAUGUAUACUGGGCUCACAUGGAAGAGUUUAUGAAACUCUCAUGAAAAUGUAGCCCUCCCUGAACCCCAAUACCAUCUUAGCUGUAACUGGAACAACCCAUCUAGCAAUUUCUAGCCCUCUUUCCCUAGAGUCCUAGCCCCUGUCAUCCCUAAAUCUCUAGACAAUAUCUGAAGUUGAGAUCUUAAAUUUGAUGGACCAUUCAAAGCUAUAUUGUGUCACCCCUGGGCACGCUCCACGGCAGGUCAAAAACCCACACCCUCUUCGGAAAUCAGCAGUAAUGUGAUCAGGAUGCUUGGUUCUUCUCUAUAGGCCUUCUAGUCUGGACUAAUAAAUAUAUAAUAUCUUUCUCCUCCAAGGGAAAACCUUAGACUGCAUCCUCUAGCCUGGCUUCAAAGACCCAGAUCUUGCCCCUUCUACUCUGAGUAAUAUGCCUGUUGGCCAAGCCAUUCCAGAGCCAAUAUCUAGGGUUGGGAUCUACUCAAAAAAUGCUUGUUGCAUACAAGGGUCAGUGAUUCCCUGAAAAUGAAUAAUGGAGUGAAUGAAAUGCAUCACUCCUCAUUUCCAAAUGAGAUUUGGAUUGACUGGUUAGCUAGACCCUUGUCCAGUGCAGGCAGCCUCUGGAGAGAGACACUGACCUCUAAAGGGUUCAUGUUUUCCAUUCAGCUGAUUUGUGGGUAUUCAAAACAACUGCCACAAGGUCCAAAAUUACAUGGUUCUUUAAAAUUUAAUCAUAAUAUAGUAUUCAUUUUAUAUCCUAAAAUAUAACUGCUCACCUAAUACAUUAAUUUAUAUACAUAAUGAAAUUCAUACAUAUGUAUGUGCAUACAUUUUAAUGAAUAUCAAUAGAUCAUUAUGGUUUUAUGCAGGAAAGAUUUUUUUUUAAUCUGGCAUAAAACAUGUGCAUAUUAAAUCACUCUCCAAAAAUGGCAAUUUAAGAACAUUGAGAAGCAGUGAGCCUUGUGGUUAAGAGCUGGACCACUGGACCAGACCUGCCUUGAGAACUUAGCUCUGCCAUUUACAAGCUAUGUGGCGUCAUCAAGUUACUGAACCUCUCUUGGCCUCAGUUACUUCAAUUCUAAAAUGGCGAUAAUAACAGUACUCCAACCUUCAAAUAAUAAUAAUUGCUGUCAUUGUUGUUGUUAUUACCAUUAUUCUUAUUACGACUACUCCCUUCCCACCUAGACUGUGACCUCCCUGAGAGCUGAUGAGAAUCUCUUUCUUACACUUGGAUCAAGAGUCAAGUAUAAUCAUUGGUUUACUGUAGGCAUUCAAUAAUUAUCAAACGAGUUCUCCAAAACCCCUUAUUUUGAACAGAAAAGUUCCCAGAAUGUUCCUCAAUCGAGUGAGAGUCCAGAUAAGAUUCUGCCUUAGUUUGUUCAGGCUGUUAUAACAAAAUACCAUCACCUGAGUAGCAUAUAACCAACAACAGAAGUCUGUAUCUCAUAGUUCUGGAAGCUGGGAAUUCAUUGCAAAAACCUCCAUAUUUAUGGCAGUCAUUUAUCUUUCAAAGCUGUAUGUCUCUUAAGAAAGCUCUCUGAAUUGCUGGGCUUUAGCUUUGUGCAAGUGCCCAGGUCAGGUUGCUCCAAAGAUGGUAGGACCUCUCUGCAUGAGCCUGGUUGAUCCUGUCCAGAAUUCUUUCCCUUUCUUUCUUUUUUUUUUCCUUUUUGUCUUUUUAGGGCCACACCUGAGGCAUAUGGAGGUUCCCAGGCUGGGG